rnacentral:rRNA from 1 species
GACGAACGCUGGCGGCGUGCUUAACACAUGCAAGUCGAACGGAUUGUCAUUGAUAGCUUGCUAGAGAUGACAGUUAGUGGCGGACGGGUGAGUAACACGUGGAUAAUCUGCCUGACACAAUGGGAUAACACAGUGAAAACGGUGCUAAUACCAUAUACGCUCAUGACAUCGAUGAUGAUGUGAGGAAAGGGGAAACCCGGUGACAGAUGAGUCCGCGGCUGAUUAGCUAGUUGGUGGGGUAAUGGCUCACCAAGGCGACGAUCAGUAGCCGGCCUGAGAGGGUGAACGGCCACACUGGGACUGAGACACGGCCCAGACUCCUACGGGAGGCUG